rnacentral:rRNA from 1 species
UACGGAGGGUGCUAGCGUUGUUCGGAAUCAUUGGGCGUAAAGGGCGCGUAGGCGGACCUGCAAGUCGAUUGUGAAAGCCCUGGGCUUAACCCGGGAAUUGCAGUCGAAACUGCUGGUCUUGAAUGCUCGAGAGGAUGGUGGAAUUCCUGGAGUAGAAGUGAAAUUCGUAGAUAUCAGGAGGAACACCGGAGGCGAAGGCGGCCAUCUGGCGAGACAUUGACGCUGAGGCGCGAAAGCGUGGGGAUCAAACAGG